rnacentral:snoRNA from 1 species
CUACUAUGAUGUAUCAACAGAAUUCUUCACCUGAGACAAAUCAUGAAGAGAAAAGCCAACCUUUUUAAAACUGAGUAGA